CAGUAGCCGCGGGAAAACGUAGGGCGCAAGCGUUAUCCGGAAUUAUUGGGCGUAAAGAGUGCGUAGGUGGUGGUUUAAGUCCGUUGUGAAAGCCCCGGGCUCAACCUGGGAAUUGCAGUGGAUACUGGCUCGCUAGAGUGUGUCAGAGGAUGGUGGAAUUCCCGGUGUAGCGGUGGAAUGCGUAGAUAUGUGGAGGAAUACCGAUGGCGAAGGCAGCCCCCUGGGAUAACACUGACGCUCAUGCACGAAAGCGUGGGGAGCAAACAGGAUUAGAUACCCCGGUAGUCCCUGUCUCUUAUAC
rnacentral:rRNA from 1 species